rnacentral:lncRNA from 1 species
CUCUGAUGAAGUAGAAAGGCUGUUUCCGAUAGGCCCCGGCUCAAGGCACGAGAUACCACACAAACACAUAGUGCAGCACAAAAGCAGAGUACAUAACAUAAAUACGGCACCCAUAAGUAAUAUAAAGCAGAGGAAAGAAGGAAAAACACACAGAUUCAUAAUACAACAUGAAACACGGAACACGGAGAAUAAAACCACCCCCAAGUAAUCCCCUACACUAGCGACCCGAACUGGCCCUAAUCCUCUGCCGUAAUUCGCGUCCUCCAGACCUUCCUAUCUAAGGUCAUGUCCUCGGUGAGCUGUAACUGUUCCUUUCCCUAUUCUUUUUUACCUUAAGAUAAAAAGGAAAUAUGAUAUUGAGAUGAUUAGUUGAUGAUGAACCAACAUAGGUUGUGGAGCUGCGGAUAGAGUUGCUUCACCUCGCGCUAUCCAUGAAUGAAUUCUAACAGUGUGAAUAUAAAUUAGCCGAAUUUCAAUGUGAAUAUCGGAUAUUUUGGACGAAAAAUAAAAGAAAUAAAGAUUAGUUGCUGAUGAAAUAGCAAGGAAACGCACUGAUUUUUUUUUUUGUUCUCUCUACGGUCAGUCUUGAUGUCUUGACUUUUACGCCUUUCCCUUUCUUACCUCAUCACCAUUUAUUGGGUCUGCUUUAAUGGUUGGAUCGGGUUAAAAAAAUUUAAG